UCGGGUGUGGUGUACGGUGCACCGCUGCCUCUCUUAGGGAAUCCCCGUCGUUGAAGCAGCUAGACGGGGUUCGAGUCCCCGCACUCGAA